rnacentral:rRNA from 1 species
CCUACGGGAGGCAGCAGUGAGGAAUAUUGGACAAUGGGCGCAAGCCUGAUCCAGCCAUGCCGCGUGCAGGAAGAAGCAUCUAUGGUGUGUAAACUGCUUUUGUACAGGAAGAAACACUCCCUCGUGAGGGAGCUUGACGGUACUGUAAGAAUAAGGACCGGCUAACUCCGUGCCAGCAGCCGCGGUAAUACGGAGGGUCCGAGCGUUAUCCGGAAUCAUUGGGUUUAAAGGGUCCGUAGGCGGUUUAAUAAGUCAGUGGUGAAAUCUGGUCGCUCAACGAUCAAACGGCCAUUGAUACUGUUAGACUUGAAUUAUAAGGAAGUAACUAGAAUAUGUAGUGUAGCGGUGAAAUGCUUAGAUAUUACAUGGAAUACCAAUUGCGAAGGCAGGUUACUACUUAUGGAUUGACGCUGAUGGACGAAAGCGUGGGGAGCGAACAGGAUUAGAUACCCUGGUAGUCCACGCCGUAAACGAUGGAUACUAGCUGUUCGGAGNAUCUGAGUGNGUAGACGAAGUAGAGUAAGUAUACCACCGUCGGGUAGGUACGGUUCGUACGAAGAAGUAGUAAACGUACGAAAGAAAGUUAGUACGGACGUGAGACGUAGACCGACGGACGACGACGAGGGAGGAGG